UACAGAGAUCUCAAGCGUUGUUCGGAUUCAUUGGGCGUAAAGGGUGUGUAGGUGGCGCGCUAAGUCGGGUGUGAAAUUUCGGAGCUUAACUCCGAAACUGCAUUCGAUACUGGCGUGCUUGAGGACUGGAGAGGAGACUGGAAUUUACGGUGUAGCGGUGAAAUGCGUAGAUAUCGUAAGGAAGACCAGUGGCGAAGGCGGGUCUCUGGACAGUUCCUGACGCUGAGGCACGAAGGUCAGGGGAGCAAACGGG
rnacentral:rRNA from 1 species